ACGAUUUUAUUUCAUUCGUCUGGGCAAAUCUAGAGGCAAAAGUUUCAAUAAAUUCGUGAUUAGAAAUAAUAUUUCAUUAUGCAGAAAAUUGAUUUCCGAUAUUUCAAUUUGAUUGAUUUACUUAUUAAAACUAAGAAUACGAGUACAGGUAGGUACUAAAUUUAUUGUGUAGUAGAGAUGUAUUACGAAUGAAUGAAUCCAAUUGCCACAGAAGAAAUGGGAUUUAUGUUGAUGAUAUUGAUCCUGCAAUCAGUUAUUAUGACGCAAAAGACGUGUCAGUACGAAUUACCGCCUGUUUUAACUCCGACUAUAAUCAGUCCUACAGUGAACAAGUUCCUGGAAUCCCUUAAGCAAGCUUAUAAUGACUUAAGAUACAUUUACUAUAAUCCCCGUAAAUGGAUAAAGAAAAUGUCACACAAUAGCUACAGCACAGCAAGCCCGGCAGGAUAAAUUGUACCUACUACUUAGUUGUAUUGUCCUUUUUGUUGGUCAUUUGGUGGUAGACAGCAUGCUCAUCAUUUACCUAUUUAUUUUUGCAUAGUCAUAAUCGGUAAACAUGUAGUUUUAAUUUCUUUUAACACCAAUUUCGAUGUACUCUUUCUGCAAAUAAAUUUAUAUUUCUUUCUUUC